rnacentral:rRNA from 1 species
GAUCAUGGCUCAGGAUGAACGCUGGCGGCGUGCCUAACACAUGCAAGUCGAACGAGAUGCGUAUCGGAAAGCUUCGGCCGGAAGAUGCGUUAUCUAGUGGCGGACGGGUGAGUAACACGUGGGUAACCUGCCUUAUGGAGGGGGAUAACAGAGAGAAAUCACUGCUAAUACCGCAUAAGCACACAGUACCGCAUGGUAGAGUGUGAAAAGAUUUAUCGCCAUAAGAUGGG